rnacentral:rRNA from 1 species
GACGAACGCUGGCGGCGUGCUUAACACAUGCAGGUCGAGCGGUAAGGCCUUUCGGGGUACACGAGCGGCGAACGGGUGAGUAACACGUGGGUGAUCUGCUCUGCACUUCGGGAUAAGCCUGGGAAACUGGGUCUAAUACCGGAUAUGACCUCCUAUCGCAUGGUGGGUGGUGGAAAGAUUUAUCGGUGCAGGAUGGGCCCGCGGCCUAUCAGCUUGUUGGUGGGGUAAUGGCCUACCAAGGCGACGACGGGUAGCCGACCUGAGAGGGUGACCGGCCACACUGGGACUGAGACACGGCCCAGACUCCUACGGGAGGCAGCAGUGGGGAAUAUUGCACAAUGGGCGAAAGCCUGAUGCAGCGACGCCGCGUGAGGGAUGACGGCCUUCGGGUUGUAAACCUCUUUCAGCAGGGACGAAGCGCAAGUGACGGUACCUGCAGAAGAAGCACCGGCUAACUACGUG